UAGGGAAUAUUGCACAAUGGGGGAAACCCUGAUGCAGCGACGCCGCGUGAAGGAAGAAGUAUCUCGGUAUGUAAACUUCUAUCAGCAGGGAAGACAAUGACGGUACCUGACUAAGAAGCCCCGGCUAACUACGUGCCAGCAGCCGCGGUAAUACGUAGGGGGCAAGCGUUAUCCGGAUUUACUGGGUGUAAAGGGAGCGUAGACGGACGGGCAAGUCUGAAGUGAAAGGCAGGGGCUCAACUCCUGGACUGCUUUGGAAACUGUCCAUCUAGAGUGCCGGAGAGGUAAGCGGAAUUCCUAGUGUAGCGGUGAAAUGCGUAGAUAUUAGGAGGAACACCAGUGGCGAAGGCGGCUUACUGGACGGUAACUGACGUUGAGGCUCGAAAGCGUGGGGAGCAAACAGGAUUAGAUACCC
rnacentral:rRNA from 1 species